GAGGCUAAACACAAGCUAAACUAGCAGAAAAAAAACUAAAUACACAUACACAAAAAGCUAAAACGGACAUGACUAGCUGAAACAGAUUGAAAACAAGCUACAACAAACAGACAAUGGUGGACAGGGACACAGGUGGAAAUGGACACUGGUGAAUAAAGUCUAGUGGACAGGGACACAGGUGGAAAUAGAAACUGCUAAACAGGGACAUUAGUUGUAAAUAGACACUAAUGGACAUUGUCAUCGGUGGACAGGGUCACUGGUGGAUAAAGACUGGUGGGCAGGGACACUGGUGGGCAGGGACACUGGUGGGCAGGGACAUUGGUGGAAAUUGACACUGGUGGGCAGGGACAUUGGUGGAAAUGGACACUGGUGGGCAGGGACACAGGUGGAAAUGGACACUGGUGGACAUUGUCAUUGGUGGACAGGGGCACUGAUGGAUAAAGACUGGUGGACAAGGAUAUUAGCAGAUCAAGACUGGUGGAAAGGGACAUUAGUUGUAAAUAUACACUAGUGGACAUUAUCAUCAGUGGAAAGAGACAUUGAUGGGUAAAGACUGGUGGACAGGGACAUAGGUGGACAUUGUCAUCAGUGGACAGAGGCACUGAUGGAUAAAGACUGGUGGACAGGGAUAAUGGAGGAAAUGGACACUGGUGAAUAAAGACUGGUGGACAGAGACAUUAGUGAAUAAAGACUGGUGGACAGGGACAUUAGUGUAAA